AUGGUCUUCGGCUAUACUCCUAGUCGAUAUGCUCUUUCGGCUAUACUCGAGCCUACGUCUUAUCGCGAUGCUCUUGUUCAUCCUGAAUGGCAGUUUGCGAUGGCAGAGGAGCUUGCUGCUCUUGAGCGUACCGGCACGUGGGAUCUUGUUUCUCUUCCUCCCGGUGUUCGUCCCAUCACUUGUAAGUGGGUCUACAAGGUUAAGACUCGCUCUGAUGGUUCUCUUGAGCGUUACAAAGCUCGUCUUGUGGCUCGUGGUUUUCAGCAGGAGCAUGGUCGUGAUUACGAUGAGACAUUUGCUCCUGUGGCCCAUAUGACCACUAUCCGCACACUUCUCGCUGUGGCCUCUAUUCGUCAUUGA
rnacentral:rRNA from 1 species